rnacentral:rRNA from 1 species
UACGUAGGGUGCAAGCGUUAAUCGGAAUUACUGGGCGUAAAGCGUGCGCAGGCGGUGAUGUAAGACAGAUGUGAAAUCCCCGGGCUCCAACCUGGGAACUGCAUUUGUGACUGCAUCGCUGGAGUACGGCAGAGGGGGAUGGAAUUCCGGCGUGUAGCAGUGAAAUGCGUAGAUAUGCGGAGGAACACCGAUGGCGAAGGCAAUCCCCUGGGCCUGUACUGACGCUCCAGUGCACGAAGCGUGGGAGCGAACAGG